rnacentral:rRNA from 1 species
GACGAACGCUGGCGGCGUGCCUAAUACAUGCAAGUCGAACGAGAGCGACCGGUGCUUGCACUGGUCAAUCUAGUGGCGAACGGGUGAGUAACACGUGGGUAACCUGCCCAUCAGAGGGGGAUAACAUCCGGAAACGGAUGCUAAAACCGCAUAGGUCUUCGAACCGCAUGGUUCGAAGAGGAAAAGAGGCGCAAGCUUCUGCUGAUGGAUGGACCCGCGGUGCAUUAGCUAGUUGGUGAGGUAACGGCUCACCAAGGCCGUGAUGCAUAGCCGACCUGAGAGGGUGAUCGGCCACAUUGGGACUGAGACACGGCCCAAACUCCUACGGGAGGCAGCAGUAGGGAAUCUUCCGCAAUGGACGCAAGUCUGACGGAGCAACGCCGCGUGAGUGAAGAAGGUUUUCGGAUCGUAAAACUCUGUUGUUAGAGAAGAACAAGUGCUAGAGUAACUGUUAGCACCUUGACGGUAUCUAACCAGAAAGCCACGGCUAACUACGUG